GACGAACGCUGGCGGCGUGCUUAACACAUGCAAGUCGAACGGAAAGGCCCUGCUUUUGUGGGGUGCUCGAGUGGCGAACGGGUGAGUAACACGUGAGUAACCUGCCCUUGACUUUGGGAUAACUUCAGGAAACUGGGGCUAAUAUCGGAUAGGAGCUCCUGCUGCAUGGUGGGGGUUGGAAAGUUUCGGCGGUUGGGGAUGGACUCGCGGCUUAUCAGCUUGUUGGUGGGGUAGUGGCUUACCAAGGCUUUGACGGGUAGCCGGCCUGAGAGGGUGACCGGCCACAUUGGGACUGCGAUACGGCCCAGACUCCUACGGGAGGCAGCGGUGGGGAAUAUUGCACAAUGGGCGGAAGCCUGAUGCAGCAACGCCGCGUGCGGGAUGACGGCCUUCGGGUUGUAAACCGCUUUCGCCUGUGACGAAGCGUGAGUGACGGUAAUGGGUAAAGAAGCACCGGCUAACUACGUG
rnacentral:rRNA from 1 species